rnacentral:misc_RNA from 1 species
UGGCUCACUUGUUAUUUGUGAUACUGAAUCAUCUACUUUCAGAUGCAGAUCGUCAUUUUCUUCCUUCCUUGUGGAACCUUCAACACCUUGCUCUGUAUCUGCUCGAUUUUCUUUCUGUAGCAGUGGCAAUUUUAAUGUCUUGGAACUUUCUUCCCCUGUAUCCUCAAUGCCAAGCUUUGCAUUCUUAAGCCAUGGUCCUGUAACAGAGGAAGGGAGUUGUACACUGGAUAUCUCAAACAACAUUUCCAGUUUGAAUCCACGUCAUGGAG